GACAGAGGGUGCAAGCGUUGUUCGGAAUUACUGGGCAUAAAGCGCACGUAGGCGGUUCGCUGAGUCUGUCGUGAAAUCCCCCGGCUCAACCGGGGAAUAGCGUCGGAUACUGGCGAGCUCGAGGUCGAUAGGGGUAAGUGGAACUCCAGGUGGAGCGGUGAAAUGCGUAGAUAUCUGGAGGAACACCGGUGGCGAAAGCGGCUUACUGGAUCGAAUCUGACGCUGAGGUGCGAAAGCUAGGGUAGCAAACGGG
rnacentral:rRNA from 1 species